rnacentral:rRNA from 1 species
AGAGUUUGAUCAUGGCUCAGAUUGAACGCUGGCGGAAUGCUUUACACAUGCAAGUCGAACGGCAGCACGGGGCAACCUGGUGGCGAGUGGCGAACGGGUGAGUAAUGCAUCGGAACGUGCCCAAUCGUGGGGGAUAACGUAGCGAAAGUUACGCUAAUACCGCAUACGAUCUACGGAUGAAAGCGGGGGAUCGCAAGACCUCGCGCGAAUGGAGCGGCCGAUGUCAGAUUAGGUAGUUGGUGGGGUAAAAGGCUCACCAAGCCGACGAUCUGUAGCUGGUCUGAGAGGACGACCAGCCACACUGGGACUGAGACACGGGCCCAGACUCCUACGGGAGGCAGCAGUGGGGAAUUUUGGACAAUGGGCGCAAGCCUGAUCCAGCCAUGCCGCGUGAGUGAAGAAGGCCUUCGGGUUGUAAAGCUCUUUCGGCCGGGAAGAAAUCGCAUGGGUUAAUACCCUGUGUGGAUGACGGUACCGGAAUAAGAAGCACCGGCUAACUACGUG